UACGUGGGGGGCGAGCGUUGUUCGGAAUUAUUGGGCGUAAAGGGUGCGUAGGCGGCCUGACAAGUCUGAUGUGAAAUCCCUGGGCUCAACCCAGGGCCUGCAUCGGAAACUGUCGGGCUUGAGUAUGGGAGAGGUGAGUGGAAUUUCCGGUGUAGCGGUGAAAUGCGUAGAUAUCGGAAGGAACACCUGUGGCGAAAGCGGCUCACUGGACCAUUACUGACGCUGAGGCACGAAAGCUAGGGGAGCAAACAGG
rnacentral:rRNA from 1 species